UACGGAAUGUGCAAACGUUAUUCGGAAUCACUGGGCUUAAAGAGUCCGUAGGCGGCUUGUUAGGUGAGGUGUGAAAUCCCUCGGCUUAACCGAGGAACUGCGCCCAAAACUACCGUGCUCGAGGGAGAUAGAGGUGAGCGGAACUUAGGGUGGAGCGGUGAAAUGCGUUGAUAUCCUAAGGAACACCGGUGGCGAAAGCGGCUCACUGGAUCUCUUCUGACGCUGAGGCACGAAAGCUAGGGUAGCGAACGGG
rnacentral:rRNA from 1 species